rnacentral:rRNA from 1 species
UACGUAGGUGGCAAGCGUUGUCCGGAUUUAUUGGGCGUAAAGCGAGCGCAGGCGGUUCCUUAAGUCUGAUGUGAAAGCCCCCGGCUCAACCGGGGAAGGUCAUUGGAAACUGGGGAACUUGAGUGCAGAAGAGGAGAGUGGAAUUCCAUGUGUAGCGGUGAAAUGCGUAGAUAUAUGGAAGAACACCAGUGGCGAAGGCGACAUUCUGGUCUGUUACUGACACUGAGGCUCGAAAGCGUGGGGAGCAAACAGG